ACUGAAGAACUUAAUUCGAAAUUCCCAUCAUUCCAAGUCAGUCGUUCCUUCAAGAACUGAAUCAAAAAUCAGUAUCAUACGUUCAGUAUCAUAAUCACAGUGAAUAAUCAUGAACAUCACACUACAUGUGCAAACAAGAGUUUUGCCUCUAAUUAUUGUUAAUAAUGGUAGAAAUGAAGAUGCAUAUUUGGUGCGUGUUAUUAUAAACUCUUCGAAUAUCGAAAUUCACUGUGUGUAUUUUGUGCAUGAAAGGAUAUCCUUGCUGUAUGUUAUUAUAUAUAAUUUGGAAAAUGUGCGGGAGAAGGAUUUUGAGACUGGACGAUGUGCAGACGAGGUGUGAUACUGCUAUUUUUACAUCCUCGUCAAAUAUAAUUUGGAAAUUGUAUGGGAGAAGAAUUUUCGGACUGGAUCAUAUCAUUAAUAAAACAUAUAAGAUUAAUUAUAAUAUUUUUACAUCCGUCACUGCAUUUCUUGUUUAUUGUCUUCUUCUUGGAGAAAUUGAAUUUAAGUUCUUCGAAAGAAGAGGAUAAUGAUUGUUAAUUAUAACGUGAUAAUGGAAAAUUGUAAAUUUUCUAAUGUUUUUAAAGAAGCAAUGUAAAAAAAAUAAUUUUAUUUCUUUUUGUAAGAUAAGC